ensembl:misc_RNA 7SK 7SK RNA
GGCAGGGAGGGCGGUCUGGCUGCCAUCUGCUACGUCUAUUAACCAUUGAUUUUUCUGAGUUGGUUCUGCUUAUCUGACUUGCUAGGUGGGGUCCCUUUUUUUCCCCUCAACUCUCCAUCUACAUCCCUCCUACAACUCAGUCCACGCGGGUAACCUUCCCAUAGAGAGAAGAAAUCAUCUUCAGGCAAGGGAACUGAAGUUGUCGAACUUAUGGAGUGUAAUUACAAAACCAGCUCUGCUUGUGGAAGGUCAACCAUUU